UAAUAAGUGUUUUAUGGCACUUUUUAAAUCCAUAUCCACCUUGUGUGCAAUGUCAGUCGGUUUUCUUUUUCGUCAAGGAAAAAAGGAUUGACCAAACAUCAACUUAUUCUAAUUGAACUUUUGUCUGAAAACUAUUAUGAAUAAACUAAUUCAAAAUA
rnacentral:misc_RNA from 1 species